rnacentral:pre_miRNA from 1 species
AGUGGGAUAGCUGAGUCAAAUGGUAGUUCCAUUUCAAUUUUCCAAGGAAUUUACAUACUGCUUUCUAUAUUGGCUGCACCAAUUUGCAGUCUCACCAGCAAU